rnacentral:lncRNA from 1 species
GUGCACAGAGCCUGGCGAGCAUAUUCCAGGCUUGAGGAGGGGUCCUAAGGCAGGGAGAAGUUGGCGAGUGGGCAGGGCUGUGCUUUGAGGGCUGACAUUGGACAUGGGGUUCACUGGGCCCAAAUCCUAUGGCGCUUUACAGGCCCCAGUGAGGAACUUUGUUCCUAGGGCAGUGCGGAGCCACCAAAGGCUUUGAGUGGGAGAGGGGCCUGAUCUGAAUAGUGACAUUGAAAGCUCUAUCUGGCUUCGGGGCCACAGGGGAUUGAAUGGGGUCUGGAGGGCAGAUCAGCAGAGAGGGUGGGGGUGGCUCAGAAUCACAGUCACCUGUCCUGAAUGUCCAUGUCCAUGCUGGAUGUCCCCUGCCCAACACCCACCCAGGCUGGGCUGUGGGGUCAGCACCUGGCCGGGCCAGGAGGUGGCCUGUGAGUGACCACCCCCGGGGAGGUGGACGAGUCCCUAAUGUUUCCCUCGCUCCCCACCAGGGCCCAUGUGUGACCUGCUCUGGUCAGAUCCACAGCCACAGGUGAGUCUAGGGUGGGGUGCAGGGCCGGCGGGUGUGGGCUGUGGCAGCAGGUGGAGGCAGACAGUCACCCUGAACCCCUGUCUCUCCCUUCUGCCCACCCUCAGAACGGGCGCUCGAUCAGCAAGCGGGGCGUGAGCUGUCAGUUUGGGCCUGACGUCACCAAGGCCUUCUUGGAAGAGAACAACCUGGACUAUAUCAUCCGCAGCCACGAAGUCAAGGCCGAGGGCUACGAGGUGGCUCACGGAGGCCGCUGUGUCACCGUCUUCUCUGCCCCCAACUACUGCGACCAGAUGGGGAACAAAGCCUCCUACAUCCACCUCCAGGGCUCUGACCUACGGCCUCAGUUCCACCAGUUCACAGCAGUGCCUCAUCCCAACGUCAAGCCCAUGGCCUAUGCCAACACGCUGCUGCAGCUAGGAAUGAUGUGAGGUGACGGGCGGGGCGGCCUGCAUCCCAGGGCCCCUCCAAUCCCACCGGACCCAGGCCCUGGGCUAGGGGCAGAGCAGGCCCCGCCCCAGGGCAAUGUUGGACCCCCUUUUACUUUGUAAAGUUUGUAUUUAUUCCCCUUUAGGUUUGCAGAGGGGGUAGGGGCAGAGUCAGGGGCUGGCCAGAGGGUCUGCUCCCUGGACAGAGAGGAAGGAGGUGGAGCAGCUGGGGCUGGGGGCACAGCCUGGGCAUUCUGUGGGGAGGCC